rnacentral:piRNA from 1 species
UAGGAAAAUUUCUGCCACUUGAUCUUAGG